AAGUGGACUAGGCCGGGCGGUUUGGCCCCGCCCCACCCACCCGCACUACGGUCAUCAGCGGGGGCCGAACGCCGGGAGAGUCCGGGCCAACCCGCCCGGGCCCCGGAAGCCGACAGAGAAGCCUCGUCCUUCGGGGACGGCGGUCCGCGGCGCGCGCCUGCAGGGGCGUCGUCGUCGCGGUUCGCCGAUGGGACCCCGUCAGGCACGGAAGUGAGCAGCGGACCAUCGGACGUUCGCCGCUCGAAGGGUCGCGGGGCGGAGGAGGCGACCGGGACUACCCGAGCGGGACGGCUCGGGCGACCCCGGCACGUCCACCA
rnacentral:SRP_RNA from 1 species